CUUCCAAAUCUAUCACUAUUGGAAAUGGACUAAGAAAUAUCAUCUUUUACUUUUUUUUAUAUAUAUAAAAGUAAAAGAUGACUUUUCUUAGUCCAUUUUCAAUAGUGAUAGAUUUGGAUG
rnacentral:miRNA from 1 species